rnacentral:rRNA from 1 species
GGCGAACGCUGGCGGCGUGCUUAACACAUGCAAGUCGAACGGAAAGGCCCUGCUUUUGUGGGGUGCUCGAGUGGCGAACGGGUGAGUAACACGUGAGUAACCUGCCCUUGACUUUGGGAUAACUUCAGGAAACUGGGGCUAAUACCGGAUAGGAGCUCCUGCUGCAUGGUGGGGGUUGGAAAGUUUCGGCGGUUGGGGAUGGACUCGCGGCUUAUCAGCUUGUUGGUGGGGUAGUUGCUUACCAAGGCUUUGACGGGUAGCCGGCCUGAGAGGGUGACCGGCCACAUUGGGACUGAGAUACGGCCCAGACGCCUACGGGAGGCAGCAGUGGGGAAUAUUGCACAAUGGGCGGAAGCCUGAUGCAGCAACGCCGCGUGCGGGAUGACGGCCUUCGGGUUGUAAACCGCUUUCGCCUGUGACGAAGCGUGAGUGACGGUAAUGGGUAAAGAAGCACCGGCUAACUACGUG